AUUGAACGCUGGCGGCAGGCCUAACACAUGCAAGUCGAGCGGAUGAAGGGAGCUUGCUCCUGGAUGCAGCGGCGGACGGGUGAGUAAUGCCUAGGAAUCUGCCUGGUAGUUGGGGAUAACGUCCGUAAACGGGCGCUAAUACCGCAUACGUCCUGAGGGAGAAAGUGGGGGAUCUUCGGACCUCACGCUAUCAGAUGAGCCUAGGUCGGAUUAGCUAGUUGGUAGGGUAAAGGCCUACCAAGGCGACGAUCCGUAACUGGUCUGAGAGGAUGAUCAGUCACACUGGAACUGAGACACGGUCCAGACUCCUACGGGAGGCAGCAGUGGGGAAUAUUGGACAAUGGGCGAAAGCCUGAUGCAGCCAUGCCGCGUGUGUGAAGAAGGUCUUCGGAUUGUAAAGCACUUUAAGUUGGGAGGAAGGGCAGUAAGUUAAUCUCUGGCUGUUUUGACGUUACCAACAGAAUAAGCACCGGCUAACUUCGUG
rnacentral:rRNA from 1 species